UGAAUUUGUUUGCUCGAUCUGUAACCGACACAGUCCAGCUAUGGCGCGAGUGAGUAUACAUUUGCUGCCGUGGAUAAUCUGGACCAUUGUAUGAAGUAUUUGAACCAGACGCUAGUCACAUUUGGAUUUCCGGCUUCUUUGGAUUUGUUUGCAACUGAUCCGGUUUCGGUUGCGCGAACUUGCAAUUGCAUAUACUCGUUGUUGCAGCAGAGGCAACGCGAUAUUGAGUUUCGAGAGUCGACUAAUGAUAAGAGGCAAC